CGAGGGUUCCGAUAGGGUUUCAAAAAAGAAAUUGAUUGAGCAAAUGAAAACCAAGACGGAAAAGAUGAAUGAAUACAGAGGAAAUUGAAAUGCAUAUGUAUGAAAAGGUAACGCGAUAGAUCGAUAAAACGCAUGAAACAAAGCGGAAAGAAAGAGUCAUAAUAACAAUGAUAAUAAUGAUAUAAAGAAAAAGAAAAAGAAAUCGAAGGGACAUACCGAAGAGAUAGAUAAGAGAAUCGGAGGCAAUAGCAAGGUUUGUCGGCGUCGAAAUUUUGUGGCUAUGGGAAGAUGUAGCUAAGCUGAACGAUGGAUCUUGUUGAUUUUGAAUACCCUUUCUAUCUAUCUAUCUAUCGUUAGCUACCACAUUAUUUAUGUAAUGUACGUGUCUCUGUGUGUGUUUCUCUUUCUGUUUCUGUUUCGGUUUUUUCUAAUCUUUUCCUUUAUUCACUAACCACCCAGUUACUAUUCCGAACAUUAAGUAUUUACAUUUAUAUGACGAUUCCACUAUAAAUGUAAUAAUAGGUUCUUAUAAAUAGAAAAUAUAUUGCUGCUUCUUAUAUUUAAUAAAUCCUCAAUUUAACACUGUAUUAUCGACUUACUCUUUAACCUAUUCAAAUGAAUUAGGUCUUCAACGAUUAAAAUUAAUUAGAAGAUUUUUAAACUGUUUUUUCAUAAACAAUUAAAAUACUUUAAAAUACUCAUAAACCUAUCGUAAAAAACAACAAUCAACAAUUUACUUUUCAAGGUUUAAAUUUUUUGUUGUUGUCAAACGUCUAACAUUCAAUCAAGUCUUAAAAUUCUAGUUUUUUUAUGAAUAUUAUACGGAUUCUAGUUUUUGAAUUUUGCUAUAAAACUAUAAAUGUAUGAAUUUUCUUACUGAUUUUUCUAGUUUUUCUGUUUAUGUUUACUGAAAUUUUGUUCUUGAUAAAUAUUGGUUUAAUGAAUUUGGGUUUACUCUUUUUUUUUCCCCAAAGAAAUGGUAUAAACUAAUGUGAGUCUUUCCAAUUAAGUUAGCAGUGAAUGUUAUUAAAGAACAAAAAAGAAGCAAGGGUACAAUAGUUAAACUUAAACACAUUAAGAGAAUAUAAAAUUAAGAAGUUUAAUCAUAUUCUUAAAAAAUUCCACUCAAUCAAAAGGAGAAAUAAUAUUUCACCAAACAAAUUUUUGGCUGGAAAAAUCAAAACUAGCCAACAAAUCAACCUAAAUUAGAUUGCAUUAUUCUUUGAUUUUGAUCAAGAAAAACAUUACACAAUUUGAAUCAUUUUCACAUCCUUAUGUACAAAUGGAAAUUAGCAUAAAUUUUACGAUGAAUUAAGUAUAAAAAUAAAAAACUGAGUCAAAACAAAAAACAAAAAAAAAUAUUUUUUUCUAAAUUAAUAUAUUAAAUUUAUUUAAUAAGCAAAUUGUUUUACUCUUAUAUGUAUAAUAUAUAUAUAUAUAUAUAUAUAUAUAUAUAUAUAUUAAUAAGCAAAUAUGUUUUCUCUUAUAUAUAUAAUAUAUAUAUAUAUAUAUAUAUAUAUAUAUAUAAUUUUUACUCAUAAAAUGUAAACUAAAAUCAUAUAAACAAAAUAAAAAUUGAAAACUUGACAUAAAAUUUAAAAUUACAAUAGUUAUUUGAUAAAAGUUUAAAUCCAUCCGUAAUUCAUAUUAUACUAAAAGCAAUAUCUUUUUCAAUGUCAUCAAUUAAGUUAUUUAUAAAAAAAAAAUACAUACUUAGUACUCAGAAAAUAUUAGCAUAAGAAUGUAAAAUAAUUGAAAGCCCUCUAAAUACAUAAAGUGUUUUUUUAUUAAUACUAGUGAAAGAUAUACAUUGAUUUAUCCAUUUAUCCGUUUUUUGCUAUUGUUUUUUCAUUGUAUAAUAUCUAUUUUAUUUUAAUUUGUUUGCUACAAUUUUAGAACAUCUAAAAUAUUUUAUUUUCAAUAUGUUGAUGUAAGAUUUUGUUAAAGAGUUCUAUAUGAUUAUGAUGUUGAUGUAAGUUUAUCUUUUAAAAAAUAAAUAAAUUGCUAAGGAUAAAUUGGUUCCAAAAAAAGUUUAAUCAGAAAUAAUUGUUUUUAUAUAAUAUAUAGAAUAUAGAUUCGAACAGUUUUGUUGGACGUAAAUCUUUAUCAAUCUAAAUCUAUUUCAUAUAAUUUUAUUACUACAACACUAACUACAACAGAUGCUGUUACAUUGAAAUCAUUAAUCUAAGAAAUUUCUUUUAAAGGUUGUAAGAACUUUUACGUGCAUUUUAAAGGUUUUAAAGAUAUUGUGACAUUUUAUUAUAAAAUUGCAUUAUGCUUAAACAUAAUGUUAUGUAUGUAUAAUACUUACUUUUUCAAACUAUUAGUAUGCAAAUACCAAUCUAAUAACAUUUCACAUAUAUGAAAAAGCAAGAGUUCAAUUUGUCCAUGUUAAUGUAAUGUUUUCUACAUUUAUGAACAUGACUUUGGAGAUAACUAGUAUAAAAGUCAAAUAUAUCUAAGAAUUGUAAUUAACAAACAAUGUAAAAAAAAAUUGCAUUAACAAUGUUUAUUAAUUGAAUCUAAACAAAAUAAUAAAAAACCAAAAAUAUGAAGUAAUAACGCUUGAUUUUAUAAAACCAUAUACCUAUUAAGAUUAACUUAUUAUAUAAACUUAUCUCGUAAAACAUUCUGGGAAAUAUUUUGGAAUAGAUUUAGUGCUCCCAAGAAACUGUGCGGCCGUAACCUUGCAGCUCUUCUCAUAUACGAGGAGGAAAGAGGAAACUGGAUCGAAAUUGACACCAUAGUCAACAGCUGAAAUUUUCUGCAGAAGUCUGCGGCAACUUCACAGUUUCUAACAUAAGCUGCUGCAUAAACCAACUUGCCAAGUAAUGAAACAGACGACAAAUCCACAAAGCAUAUUAACUUCUCUGUGCCAGGACAAGGGCAGUACAUUCUGCAUUAAAUUUAUACAUGAUUUUGUUAUCAAUUCAUAGAUUCCUUCCAUCUAAUUUUUCUCCUCGAGGAUUUUACUCUAGUCAUCCCCUGCCCAAUAAGCCUUGUAAUUUCACGACUGAAAACAAAUUUAAGGUGGAAAAAAAACUGGAGACGCAUUUUUUUUCUCCAUAUAUUAUUCCCGCGCUGCUUGAGAAUUCGCAUUAUUGCAAGUAAUGAAUUGAACAUCAAUCUGACUACUGUACAAAUUUACAAUAGUAAGGUAUAAAUGAACAAAAAAGGCAGCUUCAGGGGAAAAAGAAUACCAAAGAGCAGCUUUAGCUGCAUCAACAAAUUCACUGUAUUACUUGAUUGUCACGCUAGAGUUGCCUUCUUGCCUUUUGCAUCCCUUGACUGCAGCGAUUGCAACAACAAAAAAAAGACAUAGCUAAAACAGUCAUGGACCGAGACUUUUUUCUAGCGAGGGCAAUGGACAGAAGAAAAACAUGGAAUAUCUCAUUACGUAAUUAUUAUUAUUAACCCAACUAAAUCAGGGAAAUAAAGCAAUUCCCCAAUAUGAUAUGUAUUUACUUAAAAGAAAACCUAGGAUUAAAUGUAUGGCAUGCUUAGUCAUCUUUAGCCCGUUGUGAUACAUAAGAGUCUUUUCUUGGUACAUAACUUAUACAUGUAAACCAGUGUUUUUGAGAAAAUAAAUAAAAGUGGCUCCGUAACAGAAAAGUGAGGUUAAUAAUAAUAUCACACGAAAUCCCUCUAUCAUCUCCUUUUACAGUUGAAGUUACAUAAUUUUCAGUCAUUCAAAGGUAAUUUGAGACAGAUUUUAGUGAUUUAAAAAUGUAUGAGGGUUUUAAUACAGAAUUUGAGACAGUCAUUCAAGUUUAACAAGUUUUAAUAAGUUUAGGGCUAUUUUGUUAAAAAUGACUAAUGAGAAAGCAACAAUUGUUAUGUUACGUUGGCCCUUCAAAAUAUUAACUGAAGGUUUGCUAGAGUUGUCAAUUAAACAAGCUGGUUUUUUUAAUUGAUGUUCCAUAAAGGUCGUGGUCAAUUAACCCAGCGUUCACCAAGCCACAAGUUCCUACUCACAUCCAUAAACAAGUUUUGAACACAGUUCUGUCAGAUUAAGUCGAUGGUGUAGCAUCACCCAGUUCAACUUUUAGGAAUUUUAUUAAAUUUGAAAGCAAGUUGAAGUUGAGUCGGGCAUUUGCCCCAAGACCCCUUAAUGCAAGACUGCUUCUGGCUACAUGUACUUCUUCUAAACAUAACCCUCAAACUUCAACAUAAGGACUUAACAGAAAAUACAGAAAAUGAAGGAAGAAAGAACAGAGAGAAUGGGAAAAACCUGAGCAGCAACAGAUCUCUUUGAAUCCAGGAACUGGCGAUAAAUACUGUAGAGUCGUCUUUUCUCUUCCUCUGAAACAGAUGGUCUGGCCUUGGAUGCAGUCAACUUUAGAAGAGAAUCAGUAAUAACUGGUGUUUUGUCUGACCUAGACGCAUCAAUAUUGUCCAGAAUAUCAUGAACUGCUGCAAGCUGCGCAUCUGAGAGGAGAGCUUGGAGAUCAGCUCCACUGAAUCCCUCAGUAAUAUUAGCUACUGUAGCCAAAUCAAUAUCAUUGGCCAUUGGUAACUGCGUCAAUUUGAUACACAUAGAUGUUAACAGAACUACUGUGUCCACGUAAAAAGGUAAGCUCUGGGUAUUAAAAUCCAAAUAUAUGAAGGGUUAACCAUCAACUUGACAUUCUACAUACCCAUAUCUUUGGUGGAAUUAAAUGUUAGCAUCAAUAGCGACACCCAACGACAAACAUUUAUAACAUUUAAAAACUUAGCAUGUCCUUAUCAUUUAUUUGGAAAAGCUGCCUUCACAAUCAUCUACACUACUGCCACUCUUUGAUCAAAUAAGAAUGUUGAUCUAUUAAUUUUUUUGAUCUACUACAGCUCUUUAAACGAAAUAUGAAACACCAAGUGGUGCUACAGUAAAACCACAAAUGCAUACUGAAAUAUAUUAUAUUCUACUAAAUCACGGUCAGCUUUAAAUCGAUCACUUUGUUAUACUAUUAAUUCCUCAAAUUUUAAACAACCACCACCACCAAAGCCUUUUUCCCACAAGAUGGGAUCAACUACAUGGAUCAAAUUUCAUAAUAUUCUUUCAUGUACUGUAUCAAUAUGCAGAAAAGUGAAGACCUUUUUCACUUGAUAAUUUGAAUGGUAAAAAGGGGGAAAAUAAAUAGAAGAAUUGUGAUCCUGGAAUUAAUUCUAGGCCUAAGGAUCGGGAGGAAAUAUUGUCUUCAUUAUGGCUAUGACUAAUAAGGAAAUAACUAAUACGCCUUCUUAUAAUUUCUAAAUUCUAACUGUUCAAGAAUACUAAUUAAUACAAAUCAGAAUCAUAUCAAAUCUGAUUUAUUCCCAUAAUUAUCUACACAACAGAUAGACCAUUUAAUUUAAUUUUACUCUUUAUGAUUUAGCCUAUAAUUGUGUUUGAUCUUAUCUACUACUAACUACUUGACUAUUCUCAAUCUAUCUGCUUUCCUUAUAUGAGGUUUUAUGGGUCUUCUCCACACGUGUCUAAAUCCCCUAUUAUGAGCCUCAUAUCGGAAAACACGGAUAUGGCUGGAAAAUGCUGAUCUUGGUGGUCCUGCUUUGUGGCCAGUAAUAUUGAUCCGGCACUUUUCCUUCAUAUUGAAUGCAUCUCAUCUGAUCAAGUCUUUUGUUUUUCCUUCCAUACUUUUAGUAGAUUUGUCAAUACCUCUUUCUCCUUAUUUAGUGCCUAAUGACAAGAAUAAGCAAUCAAAUGCCGUUGCUUUAGCUUUGUAAUCCACCUUUUUAGAGCCUUACUUCGCUACUUUAAAUUUAUUCUAAUUUUUACUCAUUUUUACACAAUGAUUAUGUUUUGUAACACUCCUUUAGCUAUAAUCUUUUGUUGCCCAUCACAGUCCCACCACCAAGAAUCUUAACCCUUUGGUUCAUAGCCUCUCAACUCUCCUAGGGUUCCUCUGACUAUCUUCCUAUUCCCUUUAGCUGCUCAUCCCAAAUAUCAUCAUCCCUUCCUUGGGUCUCCCAAAACCCUCCCCUGAACACUAUUAAUUCCUAAAUUUUCUUGCAUUUGAUAGGUUGUUAUAAAAAAGAGUAAUCUUUAGUGAAAGGAAACUCUUGAGGAGAAUUCUAUCCUCCAUUUUCUGUUCAGUUCUCAAUAAUGCCUUUCUUCUAAUUUGAUUCAUUUUAUAUUUCUUUCAUUUCAAUUUUUAAGAUUCUAAUAGUCUACUUCUCCACUCAAACUUAGGGAAUAUUACAAAUUAGUAUAGUGUAUAUAAGAUUAGGAUCCAUGUAUAUACUGUAUAGGAUAGGCAUAUCGUGUCAUAUUGUGUAAACAAAGAAUAUACUGUAAUUAUUCUAAUAAUUCAUUUUCAGGCUAUAUAAAGAGUCUCUGCUCUAGAACCAAAAAAAGUCUCCGCUGUGUAAUUGAGAAACACUAAUUCACAAUAAUAUGCCUCUGAUUUCUAUCAUUUAACAAUGUCUAGUGCCUCGAAACCAUUACAAGAUAUAUGCAUAUGUAAAAAAGUUUUAUCCAAAAACAAUUACGUCGUGUAAAAAUCCCAACAAGAUAUUGUAACAAUUUAGCAAACAAUCAUAAUCUAUAGUUACACGUAUGCAUACCUUUCUAGAAAGUACCGUAAGAAUUUCGAAUCUCUCUUGCCAGGAUGGGAAGUCACAAAAUAGAAGACGAUCCAACCUACCCGGUCUCAACAGUGCCGCGUCAAGUAAAUCAGGUCUACUGCUUGACAUGAGAAGCAAACAUCAGAAUUGCCUAUAACUAAUAUUCAUUUCCCGUAUCUUUUCUUUCUGUAUAUCAAACAAUAAUAGAAAGAACAAACAAGCCUGCAGUCAAUUGUGAAGUUAAACCCAUUGAAAAACUUAAAGGUUUCAGAGUAACCACACAAGUGUAGAAUAGCCAAUUUGGACUUCUUAUUUUUUUGAAUUGUUCAUCAUCAUUAAUAAAAUGGCCUUAAAUGUAAAUAGUAAAUACCAAUUGGAUAAAAGUUAAAUAGCAUACUGAUCAUGUGAUUACUUGGUUAAGUUUAAUUAAGUACAUGGAUUAAUUUUGAGUAGCUUUGUUCACCUAAAAUUUUACUUGUUUAUUAAUCAAAACAGCCGGACUGACCCUUUUUCUUAUUCAAUCAUGUACAUGACAAAACUCCAAAACUGUAUUGUUGAGUAGAUUCAGAGUUGUAAUCAAAGCUUGAAUUAGAAUUUUCCACCUGUAACUAUUCUAAAUUAAUUGUAAGGUAAAAGAAUCUCCAGGUUGAACCUACAGCCUUCUUUUCACCAUUCAGCUUUUAAUCUGUCAUUAUCUGACACCUCAUUUCAAUUUUAUUCUUUUAUUUUUGACAAUUGAAUGUGAUAGAACACUGCAAAUUAAGAGGAAUGAGGGCCCAAAGAGUGGGCCCCACUCACCCAAGUCACACACCUCACACAUUUAGUUUCAAGAAGGAUGAAUGGAGGGAAUAAAAGUUAGUUAAUAACGUCUCUUAUUCUACCAAUCUUCCAUUAAAGGAAUGAGGGAGGGGAAAGUGAGAAAGGCAUUCAGUUUCAAGAAGGAUGAAUGGAGGAAAUAAAAGCUAGUUAAUAACGUCUCUUAUUUUACGUUAUAAGAAUGAGGGAAGGGGAAGAGGGGAAGGUAUUCAUAAAAUAUUUUAAGAAAUAAUUAGGCGAAUUCUUUCUCUGGUUAGUAGCAACUUUGCUCUCAUUUAGGAGUUCUUAGAACUCUGGUUUAGUUUUUCUUUCUGCUCCUCUCCUGAUCUCGUCAUUGUAAGAGAUACUAAGAAUUUUAAGCAAUAAUAUACUUUUUUCUUCCAUUAAAAUUCUGAGUUCUAUCAGAAUGCAUGCUUGGAAACUAACCUGGUUGCAGCAAACACAAAUACACCAGCUAAAAUCUCAACACCGUCUAACUCAGUCAAAAACUGUAAAAAUUGAAUAAAUUGAGGUCAGAUUGUAUUCAACGUGUAAACACAAAAGGUGAAAAAUAUAUACUGACUUGAUUGACAACUCGAUCAGUUACUCCAGUAUUGUCAUGCCCUCUCUUGGGAGCAAUAGAAUCAAAUUCAUCAAAAAACAGUAGGCAUGGUGCUGCAGCAGCUGCUUUAGAAAAUAUAUCCCUAACCUGAAAGUAGCAUUCAGGACUCAGACAUUAAAAGCAAAAUAACCAACUUCAAAACCAAAAAAAAAAAUUGUAAAUAAUGUUCAUCAAGCUAAAAGAAAAAGCCUAGGUAGGCCCAAAAUACAUUCAAGAUGAUUCAGUCCACAGAUUGAUGGUAAAAAAUAGCAAGUUUUGAGUCAAAUAAGACAACAACCUUCAAAAAUAUAUUUUGUAGCGAAAAUAUAUGGAUGAAGAAAGAUAGAAAGGAAUAUGAAAAACAACAAUAGCCUAAAAAAGUAUUAUUGGCCUCUUACAGCUUGUUCUGAAGCACCAAUGUAUUUGUUUAACAGUUCUGGCCCUUUUACUGAUAUGAAUCGAAGCGAAGAAGCAGCAGCAGCAGCACCAACGAUGUGAGUUUUGCCACAACCAGGAGGACCAUAUAAAAGGAUAUUUGACCGCAACCUCAACGGGGCUCGUGCAAAAGUUUUUGGAAACUUUGAUGGCAACUCUAUCAUCUGGAAAUAAUUUAACAUAAAUAAAGCAAAACAUACUAGCAUAGAGUACAUGCAACAAAAAAGCAAGUGCUAAAUUAUUGGUCAACUACUAGACAAAAAUCACUGCCUCAGAAAAUCCCUAUAUUAUGCAAUAAUGAUAGAUAAUCAUAGUUAAUAGCCAAUCGUAUUUAGUUAGCUAUCCUUGAUUAGUUGUUUGUUAGUUGGUUAAAGGGGUUAGGGUGUGAUGUAAGAUAAAAGAGAAUUAAAGGAAUCUGGAAAGUAGAGCUAGGAUUGUACUCGGUAAUCUAUCCUCAAGGCCGCAUUGAUCCAGAGGAUUUUUCAUUAAGAUUCACAAUAUUUCUCUUCUUUUCUUUUGCAAUAUCAAUCGGAUCUAUCAGAUAACCCCAACUUUCAUACAAGACGACAGUUCUUGGGGCUCCUUUCAGAUAUUUUAGAAGGUGAAUGACAGGACCCAUUCAUUAGCUCUAUGGUAUUACACAAACUGACUGACACAUUGAGAAAUCAAUAUAUAUUUGGGUCACACCGAGGUAAUUCACAUUCUAUCUUUUAAGAUCAUUGAAUAAAUCUCCAUCUCCAAAUUCACUUCAUAAUUUCUUGUUCUUUUGGUUGAUAAAAGAAGAAAUUAAUUAAAACAAAGAGAAUAUAUUACAAAUUUUUAGAGAAGGAAUUCCAUAAAGAAAUCACAGCAGAUCAAUAUGUCAGCUGCAAACAGCAAAGUAUAACCUCGGAGCAAUGUAAGAACAGGUGUGAAUUGAUUCUUAGCAUGUACCACACUUUAUACACACAUCACUAGAAAGAGCGUUAUUAGAUAUAAAAUCACUCUUGGGCUUCCACCUAGCUUAAGCAUUAAUAAGUGUUAUUACUUUUUAGUCUUAUAUUAAAUAUAAUAUAAUAUAACUUGAAAUUCAAAAGAAACAGGAAAACAUAAAAUAAACUGAGAGAACAAUGCAUUGAAAUAUUUUAUGAAUUCAGACCUCUUUAAUAGAAUUUCGAAUAUCAACAAGACCACCGACAUCAUCCCAUCCAGAGCGGCCAUCAUCAGAAACAGAUUUUGUGAUGUCACGCAUUGCAACUGGAAGAAAAUCAUGCAUUGCCUGAGAAAAAUCCUCUUGUAGUAAGGCAGGACCCUCGUGCUCAUAAAUGGCAUUAGAUGGCAGAAAACGGCGAACAGCGGCAUGGACAGUUCUGUCAACUAAUAUUUCCUGCAAAGAGUGAUACUUUUUAAUAUUUGUAUACAAGCAUCCCAGACAGUUAUGGAUAUUUCAUGCAUUAAUAAUAAUCAGAUGACUGACCAAACAUCUACCAAAGAAAGUAAUUGUUAAUGAAAUGCAAAUGAAAACACUGACGUUGUAAUUAUGUUGGGGUAGAAACGUUACCAUCUUUUGAUGUUUUACAAGUUAUCAUCAGGUAAUUUUACAUUCCUUAUCUCUAAUCUAGAACACUUGUUAACCUAAUUUCGGCAAGAACAUUACACUGAGUGCUUCAUGAAUCAUGGACAGAUGCACAAAUUCUCCAGCCCAUUUACACUACCACCAAAUGAACAGGGCCGAUAUGUAAAGAAAAGAAAAGAAAACAGCUCCAAUUCAUAAAAGAUUAUUAAGCAUAGAAAUCCAUAUGGGAACGUCCAUCUGAUAAACUGUCUUGCUUAUCUGAUCCCUCUCAUUCUCUCUUGUCAGUGUUCAUCCCAUAACCUCCCUGCAUGUCUAUUCUCUCUCUCUCUCUUGUCUGAAAACAACUGUAACUCAUUUAAAAUAUAAAGCAAAAUAUCUACAGUGGAAUAUCUAUCACAUAAACUGUCCUGCUUUUCUUCUCUCUCUCUAAAUUUAUCUUCACAAAGAACUCAUAACAAAAGGAACCCUAUGGUGGUGACACAUAUUAACAAAGCUGACAACUAGUAAGUUUUAGACUAAUAAAGCCAAAUGAAUCACAACUGCCAAAACAACAAAACUAAAAGAAGUGGAAUACCAGAUCAUAGCCAUCAUAACCAUCACAUUUUCCAGCCACAUCAAGCAGGAUGUCAUCAUCGCAUUGCAGGUGCCGCCUUUGUAUUUCAUGUUUCAACAUAUCCCUGCGCUCAGAAGCUGCAGGAGCAGGCAGCUUAAUGUGAAAGUCAAACCGUCCUGAUAACAAUAGAAUAAUGAAUUUAGUAGCCAAAACAUGAGAAAUUAAAUGCAUAUGAAAAAAUUAGAGAUAAUAAUAGUAAAGAUUCUUUCUAAAUUUUACUAAUAACAUUGCAACGAUUUUACAAGCAGAAGUAGCAAACCUGAAGAGCUCAAAGAUUGUGGUAUGUUCUCUAGGGACUGUAUGGAAGCUAUGAAAGCUAUUGGUCCGAAUCCACAUGAUUUUCGCCUCUUCUCCUGUAUAAUUUUCCAUGCAGACGAUAAAUUCAUAAUGGGAGAGAAAAAUAUAUACAUUAUCGAUUGAGCAUCAAAAUGAAGCUCCUGUGCAUUUGAAAAUUUCUUAGUGUGAUCCGAUUAUUAGUUAGCAAUUAGACAGGGCAGUGUUAUUUCAAAAUAUAAGCAAUUGUAUUUUGUACACCUAAAAAUUUGACACCUACAACAUCUGGUUAAUGACGUUCAAAAUCGUAGAUAUUGGAAUAUUGAGUUUGGUUAAGGUACAGCAUGCAUAACAUUUAAGGGAAUCAGCAGCAAACAGCACUAAAGAUAUGCUUCUUACCCCAUAUUCAUCCAUGAUGUCAACCAGAAAAUCUGUGAGUCCAGCAACAGACAUUGAUGGCUGAGAUCCUUCGGAAUCAGGGGUAGAAAUUAUACUAUCAAGAUCAUCAAAGAUGACAACAGAAGGUGCAUGGUUUAAAGCUUCAGUUAUAUGGUUUGCAAGUUCUUGGCGAAUAAUUGGCACCUUCUCCAAAGCAAGUUUUGAGCAAGAAACAAAAAUUCUGCAUAGUAAUGAACGAUGAAAUUUUCAAAAUCUGAACAGGAGUAAUUGUAUACAUGGAAUAGAAAAGAAAUCAGAAUGGUGUGAUGAAUUAGAAUUAAAAUUAAUACACGUGUGCUAAGAUGUCUUCAUGAUUCUCGAGGGAUUUUGCCACAUUCCUUGCUAGUAUGGUUUUCCCAGAGCCCUGGAAAAAUUAUUCAAAUGUCAAAUUAUUGAUAGUUAAAUUAUUGAUAAUUCACUUAUAUAGGUCAGAAAUGUUUUUUGUUUUUUCCCAGAUCAGAAACCUGAAGGUAAAUAAGAAUGCAUCACUAUCACAUCAGACAAUUUUGUACCCUGAUGUGAUGAGACUAUGAAGCAACCCAAAAUAAAUUAUUUUACCUAUUUGUGAGCUUUGGGUUGGGGUUGCUAUCCUCAAAAGUUAUCAAAGGUAAAAUUAGAAAAAGAAAAAUUCUUAAAACACAUUUUCCAGUUUAGCUGUUAAUCAAGUAAUUAAGUAGUUACUCGGCAUUAUUUCAGCAUUGUGAACCAGCUAAGUGAUCGUCAAAAAAUAUUUUUACCAAAAAAUCCUUCGAUAACUGGUUACACACUUAUACAUGAUAAAAGAUCAUAACUGUUAUGCUUCUUUCAGGUGUAUUUUCUUUUACUUGUUUCUUUGAUUUGCUUCUGUCAUAUAAUUUACAAAACCUUCAUCCACCUCCCAAGUUGGCACCCAAUAUUUGUCAGAAAACCAUCCUCAUACUAGUCUGGAAGUUCUUUUUUUCGCCCAAAAAUCAUGAAAUAUGAAGUAAAAAUCAACACAAAAUUGACAUUAAAAAGGCUAUAUAAUGAGUACCAAAGAGUAAACAAGUGAUUGGAAGGAUUCCAAGGUCUAAAUAUUUAACAAUCCAGCAAUUACAACUUCUAGUCUAGUCUACUAAUAACCCUGCCCAUUAUAUAAUUAAAUAUAUAUGAUAAUACAAUUUAAGUUGUACUCACUGAGGGUCCAUAUAUAAGAACAUGCCCAGGAAGUGGUAGGUUGCAUGAGCCAAACCACAAACCACAUGCUGAAGAUAGCAAUACCAACAUCCCUACAGUCAGCAAAAAGGGAAAGUUAAAUUAAAUAUCAUUAGAGGGCAUCCAAGUGCCCAAGUGCUGCUACUGUUGUGGGAAAAAAACAUUUGAGUGAGUUGAAUUCAAAUUGACAAACAGCAGCAUCAAGAAGGAAAAGAGCUGAAUCCCGCACACCUCAAACUAAAUUCUAAAAAUCUCUUAAAUGAUCACCCAUACUAACAGCCAAAAGACCAAAACAACUCAAACAAAAAUUUGGAAUCUUGAGUAACAAAUAAGUUAACCAGACAAAACGGGUAGCAUGGAAUCAACUUCUUUCCUAAAAAUAAUAAUAUGCAUUUCUCAACCUCAAAUAGAUGAGAUAUGCAUAUAUAGGGUGUAUUGCAAAAUAGGAAAUAGAAACAAAUUUUUCGUGCUUCAUUCGCAACAUAUUCACAGUUAUUACACGUACUCUAGCUUAAGGGAAUAUGUGAAGGAAUUAGGAAAAAAUUGCGAACAGAACAAUCAUUAUUUCAAGAAUGAAAGAAGAAGAAAAUUAAGGUCUCAAGAUAAAAUGACACUUAAUGUGAAACGUCUUUCAUUCACUAAAGUGACUAUUAAUAUAAAAUAGAGAAAGUAUCAUUUAAAUUUUAUUUUGAAAUAAAAAAAAUAUCAUGAAAAAAUUAAUGGAUACUUGACCCAGAAAAGAAACCUACUAUUGAUAACAUCAGAAGCAGUUUUCUCCAUGGGAUCGAGGAAAGAGAUAUUUGAACUAAUGUGGUCUUCAGAGGCUCUCUCUUCCAUAGAAUGAAUAGAAACGGGAUCACCCAAUUUCAUUCUUUCAAAAAGCUUCAGAUCCUCAAUGUUGGUGUUAUCGAGUCUUCCACCAAAAGAAACUUUAUAUGCAUUAAGUUUCCCUUGAUGCAGAUCUUCGUCACCAAAGGUCAUGAGAAAUAACAUUUCAGCUGCCUUGCCACUGUUUUCUAAAGAAGCCAGCUGAAGCUUCUCAUCCUUCCCAAUCUUGUAACAGCUUAAUUCAAAAUGAAGCAAGGUUUUACUACCCAUAGCCAAUGAAUUAACUUCCAUCCCUGCAAUGGAAGUAAUUGCCUCAAGCUGCGCAAUAUACCAUAGUCGUACAAGACUUUGUAAUCCCUUUUGAUUCUGAGACGGGUUUGCAACCUCUUCUUCUGCUCUGUAACUGGAUUCAUCAGAAAGAGCCGCAACAACUUCACUGUGGAUAGACCAAUUUAUGGUAUCCAAAAAGACACCUGAAGCAGGUUUUGCAUGCAAUUUCUCGUCGAUGUAAUUCUUGUGGUCGUGAAAAUCAUCUAGACUAUCUUUCUCAACAGCAUUCUUCUGCGAUAACAGUUUGAAUCGACAAGGACAAAGAGAAAUGGAAGGAAUAUUUUUUUCUAAAACAACAUCACACGCCUUCAAAUAAACCCCUGCGCAAUCACAAAAGCAAUAAUUUCUUUUAAAAUCAGAUAUUGAAGAGACAGUCAGAUUAUUCAUCUAAAAUAUAAUUUAAAAAGCACGAGAAAACAGCAAAAUUUUGACAUACUGUCCACUUAUAUAAAGUUGAUAACUCAGGCUAUUUAUAUAAAGUUGAUAACUCAGGCUAUUGCAGCAAAAAGCAACUCUUUUUAAUUUAACUCGCAAAAAAAAAAUAUAGCAUAAUCUUUAACUUAAAAAUCUUCUAGAAACAAUAGCAAAUCCACCAAAAAAAGUGCAAACCUCCAUAAAGCGUUACAUUGUUCUCCCGAUGCCAUGAAAGUUCAAAAUAUAAGUACUAGAGCAAAUCACUGCUUAUUAAAAUAACAAAUAGCUUAUUGCCUGAUAGAAUAAUACACUGUUGAAAUAGAAGAAUUAAGAACUGCUGGUAUCCCAACUACAUAAACAGAUCAAACAAAAGCCAACUUCAUAUAUAUUUAACAACAAUUUGCUGGGCUCAAUAUCCUGCACACUGAAUUUUAUGAGCAUGCAUGUACAAUUGAUUAGAAAAUAUUGUGGUUUAAGAAUGAUGAAUAUUAGGACAACUUAACGUACAUGAAUGCAGGCUAGCUCUCAAAUAAAGGCGAAGAGACUUAGCUAGCAUUACAUGUCCUUUAGCCACAGAUUCUGAAGUCAGCAGAUGAACAACUGCCUGUCGAGGUUCCUUCUUGCCAGUAUCUCCAUUCUCAGCCGAACCACUUUUGGCUUUCAUAAUAUUGGUUCUGGAUAUAUUAACUUUCUCUUUGGAUACUCUUGGCACUAUGGAAACCAACUGAAGCAUGUUAAAUGAGAAGCGAUUGGCUGUUUCUGGAUGAACAAAAGCAACAGAAGUAAGCCCUACGUGAAACUCAACACCUUUGACAUGAGUACUAGUCCGACAUAACCCAUUUGGAUCUUGUAAACGGAGCAGCAUCUUUGCAGUAUUCUCUUUACUAUAGGAGCCUAGAUGUGAAUCUCCUGCUGANNNNNNNNNNNNNNNNNNNNNNNNNNNNNNNNNNNNNNNNNNNNNNNNNNNNNNNNNNNNNNNNNNNNNNNNNNNNNNNNNNNNNNNNNNNNNNNNNNNNNCUGAAUCCAAAUUUCUUUUGCGUGUUUUUGGAGCAACCUCAACUUCAGUUCCUGGCAUGAGUUGCACUGAUAAUGUUUCACGUGUUAGACAGGUCUCACAACAUGGAUUAAAAGGAUAGUUGGCUUAAAAAUACAAAACAGACUUAUUUACAGUAGGCUUGUAAAAAUUCAAUGAUGAAAAGAAUAACAAACGACAAAACAUAAUACUACCUCACCCGCAAAAUGUGAUAACUUCCUACUUAAUAAGGUUUCAAGUGUUACAAAAUUGCGUUUUAUAGUACUACAGAAAAUAAAUUCCUAAGAGAAAAAAAAUAUUAAAUCAAAAGUAAGUAUGCAUUUUCCUACCAAAAUGUAGAGUGCAAAUGCAUUUAACUAAGUUAUUAGAUAUAAGGUUUCAAAACACUUAGACAAAGCUUCACAGCAAGGUAAUUCAUUCACACACAAAAUGAUAUGUCAAUAAUGCUAUAUUACUACCAUAUAAUCCAAAUGCUAGUUUUUUUAAACAGUAAAAUCAUUGGUGAAUAACAGCCUAAGUGAACUAGUUCAAUAUAAAAGAUCAUGAAUUAUCUUUGUACAUUCAACCAAGUCUACUACGUAUGUAAUAGUCAAUAGGCAGAAUAGUUCUUACCCACCGCAUUCUUGGGAAAAACAGAAACAACUUGGAAUGUAAUGACAGUGUGACCAUGCAACCGCAAAGGAAACCUCAUCCCUUCAUGAACAAUCCUAACCUGCAAUAAUACAACAAAGCCAUACCUAAAAUGAAAGUUUCGAUAGAAACGUGCCUAUCUAGUAACUAUUCCUAACAUAUGAAUCACAGACACCACCACUAAUUUGAGAAAAUAAAUUAAUUGAAUGUAAUCAAAGUGUGUCGGAGUCAGACACGUUUUCCAUCAGGAUGCUACAGAGUUCCUCAUAGAUGUGUGUGUAGAUAAAAUAAGGAAUAAAAAAAAUAUAUAUAUAAAACCUGGUUGAGAAUUUGAGCUUCAGCUUGUUCUGAAUUAAGUUCCAAAAUCUCCCAAUCGUCCUCGGUGUGUGGCUCAACAGAAACGGAAGAAGCAUGGGGAAUGUUAGAAGCAACUUUAACUUGAACGGGAGAAUGAAUCGGCAAGGAAAUGCAAUCGGCAAAUAGUUGAGAAACCUGAAUGGAUGAAGGAGAAGAAGAAGUGGCACCGGACCAAGCAACGAACCAGGAUUGAGUGGAAGAACGAAGCUCGAGAGCGAGAAUUGGAGGAAGUGGAGAUGAACGUGUGGAGUGAAGAGUUUGGAUUAGAGGUAAGGGAAGGGAUGCGAAACAGUUGUCUAUGGUUCCCACCGCUUCAAUCCCAAACUCCAUCUUCAAUUGCAAAUUGGGAACUCGGUUCACUCAAUUGACCAUACACACGACUAUGCAACUGCGAAUUGCUUCCUACGCUCACAGACUAUCAAAUAUGUUUUUGGAAACUCGCACAAGGAAAUUUGCUGAGUAACGAUGUUCCCCUUUUUUUACUUAUUUAUUUUUUCAAUUAAAAAAGUUUUUGAGAAUAUAAAAUAUAACAAUCUGAUAUUUAGUGGAUAUAAAUAUAUUUAUACAUUUUAGAUUACUUUAAAAUUAUAGUAAUAGACUAAGAUUAAAAAAAUUAUAGUAAUAGAUACAAUAAAUGUAUAGCAUCUUGACUCAAAUUGAGUUACUUCAUGUUCUAAAUGUAAUCCACUCAUAAAAAUGUUUAACAACCCAAAGAAUACGUAUAUUUCUCGGAAUUUUCUUUACGGGUAGUAUUUUAUCUCCUGUGAACAAAUAAUAGAGAAUGAAUGAAUAAUUACCUAUUGAAUUUGAUGAGCAAUCACUUAUUCAAAAAUAUGUAUGGUCUAAUAAAGUCUUUAUAGUUUGUUGAACUAGGCUUAAGAAUUUUUAAUUACACAAUUUAUUUACUCUAAUUUAUACAAUAACAAAUUAUUCUUUUAAACUAAUUUUUUUUAACUAAUUUAGUUUUUUGAAAAAUAUUGACACUAUAAUUUUAAAGAUUUUAUAUUCAUUUUAAUGUAAUAUAAAACUAUUCAACGAUGUGUAGAUUUUUUAUAUUAAAUAUUUUUUUAGGAGAUAUUUUGAUAAAUUGACUGUUGAAAUUUUAAAUACCAUAAAAUUGAUUUAUGUAAAAAAUAUUAUAUAAAAUAUUCUUUUCAUCAAUUUCUCAAACCAUUGUCACCUUCGCCUUUUGGGAAAACAUAUAUUAUCACACCUAUUAUUAGUAAAGUAGUCCAAAUGUAUAAAUAAUUUCAAGUAUAAGUUUUUUAUAAAAUAUAAAUAAAUCUCAUUAAUAUGAAUAAAAAUAAUGAUAAAAACUUAUAGGAUAUUUGAUAUAUAAAAUUCAUAUUGAAAUCUGCAAAAUCUCACUUUACCACAUUUAGAGUGUUUCGUCGAUAAAUUCUUUAAAUAAAAAAACGAUUAAAAAUAAUUGUCUUUAAUUUAAAUUUAAUGGUGUGAUUUUUAUUGAUAUUAAGAUAUUAUAUCAUUUCAUUCAUAAUAAGCUGUUCAAAACAAGGUAAGAUAAAAUAGAUAAAAAACAAAAGAACUAACAUGUAUUAUAAUAAGGCCCUAACUAAGUUAUAGGCAAUGUAAUCUCCGGAUAAAAUUUACCUCGAAGUUGGAAGAAAACUAUAAGUAAUUGUUUACAAGGGUCUAAAAUAAGACCAUGUUUGUUAUGUAUGAUAAGUAAGGUCACGUAAAAUAUCAUAAACCACAGUUUUACAAUCCAACUCUAAAAUUAAAAUCCAAUAGACAUUAUAAUUGCAGUCAAAAUCUGAUGUGACUGUUUAAUUUGUGGAACAUAAAAAUCUUAUAUUCUACAUUGAACUUUUAUUUAUUAACGGUCAAUUUAACGAACCUCAUAAUUAUUACGCACGAGCCACAUGUUGAAAGGGAGUAAAAAAAAUUUAAAUUUAAGAUGUCUUUAUAAACAAAUCCCCUCCCACACUAAAAGCCCCAUAAAAUAUUGUGAGUUUUGUGGACCUAUAAGCCCACUUUUUAAAAAAAAAAUCAAUUUUUUUACCGAUAUAAUUUUUUUUUCUUUCGAUAAAAAUUUUUUAUUUUUUUUUAUAUAAAUUUUUUGAUAAAAAAUAAUUUACAAUUUUUUUAUUUUCGAUUUUUUUUUAGAAUUUUUUUUUAUUUUUCUCAUAAAAUUUUUUGAAAAAUAUAUUUUUUUUUAUAUUUUUCCGAAUAAAAUAAAUUUCAAAAAAUAUUAAGAAAAAAAAUUCAAAAUUAACAAAAUAUUAGAGGCCUAUAAGCCUCUCUCUUAAGCCCCACAAAAUAAUGAAUUGGGCUUUAAAAAUAUUAUUUUGAUAAGAAGACCUAAUAUUAAGGAUUUAAUAAAAAAAAUUAAAAAAAUUUUAAAGUUGAAGGUUUUUUGACAGCUCUAUAGACAAGUCACCAAAUUAUAAUUUUUCAUAUAUUUACUUCAUAAAAGUAAGCCAGCAGCCCUGCCCCAUGUUGAACUUUUUCUCAUUCUGAAAUCCAGUCCAGGAUGGAAUAUCACUAUAAAGGUCAACAACAACAAAAUAAAAAUAUACAAACAAAUGCCGAAAUAGUGUAUCUAUUUUGACCAAAAGAAAAUAUUACUAACUCUUAUAAAAUAAAUAAUUCUAAUGACUAAUAAACUUAAAAUAUAUAAAACUUUUACAAAUUAUAAUUAUCUUCUAUGAGAAUUUAUAUUAUGAAAGUUUUAUGCAGACUAAAAAUAAAAAUAAUAGUAUUAACAAAACUUUUUUUAUUUUCUUGUGGGGGCAAGAGCCCCCGUUACUAUCAUACUGCAUCCACCACUAAAACAAGUUGACAAAAAUAACAAACUGAUCCAGUCCAAAUUAAACUUGGCAAGACUAGACUAGUUAAUUAAAUUUGUGUGGACAAAAACCACUUAAUCCGGAGUUAGAAAGUGCUAGUGAGUGGCUAAAUUAUAGUAUCCAACAGAUUAAAUAUUCUUUAUUUUUUUUAUUUCUUCCUGUAUUUUGCAACCAACUUUAGAAGCAAAUUAAACCAUAUUCCUGCCAUUCACUAUGUCUCACUGAUCUGAUAGGUCACUAUGUUCUCUUUCCAUUGCUUCUGGUCCAGAUGUUUCUCGUAGAAGGUGACUUCUUUGUUUGAUUUAACAAACAACGCAGAGGAGCUCCUAGUACCAUAACAACCCUAAGCACAAGCAAGUUUUCAGCUGGUGUUAAAUGCAAAAUCAAGGUUGAGCAUGGAAAAAAAACAAGUGGAAUGUGUUUGUUAGUUACCCGGGGAAGUUGUGUGUCAACAAAGAUAGAACUCAAAGGACGUUCAAAUUCUGGAGGAUGAAUCCCUGGUAGCAAAUGAUCUUCAUCAUCUUUAACUGUGUUUGUCAUUAGUUUCUCAACCAUUUCUUUUAUUGGAAAUUCACCUUCACCAUACUCAUCAAUAAGCUCUUUGAAAUUAUGGCGCAAUCUUUCAGCCUUAAUAGAAAAUGGUACGUAGUAGUGUCAAAAUUCAGCGGGUGUAACUUAAUUUGCAUACAAGCAUCAAUUCUCAGUAACUUUGUGUGUGUACCUUUGGCCAAGGAGCAUCCAAUGAUGCAUUUGUCAAGACGUGAAUUCCAGGGGUAACAGUAAGAUAACCAUGAUUUGGUCUAUUGAAGACAUAAACCAUGGUGGAGGCGCGAAUAUCAGCUAAUACGAGGUUAAAUCCGUUGUACAGAUGAGCCUCUUUGAGCACUUCCUCUGCAAACUCCUGGGGACUCUUAUUGCUCUAUUGUGAGCAACAUAUAAAACUAUUAAUGAAUGUAAUAUUAUGUCGGAUAGAGGGGACCCUGAGGGUGUUAGAGAGCCUUAAAAUUUUAGGGGCACAACUAUAUAUAUAUAUAUAUAUAUAUAUAUAUUAAAAUAAAAAUAUAUUAGUAUAUACUUUAAGAGACUAAUUUUUUUAAUAUAAAAGAGACCUGAACUAAGGUAUUUAAUAAAUAAUUAUUUGUCAUAAUAAAAUAAUUUGUUAUCUUAUAAUAUAUACAAUAUAGUAUUCUCUAA
rnacentral:lncRNA from 1 species